GGUUAAGCGACUAAGCGUACACGGUGGAUGCCCUGGCAGUCAGAGGCGAUGAAGGACGUGCUAAUCUGCGAUAAGCGUCGGUAAGGUGAUAUGAACCGUUAUAACCGGCGAUUUCCGAAUGGGGAAACCCAGUGUGUUUCGACACACUAUCAUUAACUGAAUCCAUAGGUUAAUGAGGCGAACCGGGGGAACUGAAACAUCUAAGUACCCCGAGGAAAAGAAAUCAACCGAGAUUCCCCCAGUAGCGGCGAGCGAACGGGGAGCAGCCCAGAGCCUGAAUCAGUGUGUGUGUUAGUGGAAGCGUCUGGAAAGGCGCGCGAUACAGGGUGACAGCCCCGUACACAAAAAUGCACAUGCUGUGAGCUCGAUGAGUAGGGCGGGACACGUGGUAUCCUGUCUGAAUAUGGGGGGACCAUCCUCCAAGGCUAAAUACUCCUGACUGACCGAUAGUGAACCAGUACCGUGAGGGAAAGGCGAAAAGAACCCCGGCGAGGGGAGUGAAAAAGAACCUGAAACCGUGUACGUACAAGCAGUGGGAGCACGCUUAGGCGUGUGACUGCGUACCUUUUGUAUAAUGGGUCAGCGACUUAUAUUCUGUAGCAAGGUUAACCGAAUAGGGGAGCCGAAGGGAAACCGAGUCUUAACUGGGCGUUAAGUUGCAGGGUAUAGACCCGAAACCCGGUGAUCUAGCCAUGGGCAGGUUGAAGGUUGGGUAACACUAACUGGAGGACCGAACCGACUAAUGUUGAAAAAUUAGCGGAUGACUUGUGGCUGGGGGUGAAAGGCCAAUCAAACCGGGAGAUAGCUGGUUCUCCCCGAAAGCUAUUUAGGUAGCGCCUCGUGAAUUCAUCUCCGGGGGUAGAGCACUGUUUCGGCAAGGGGGUCAUCCCGACUUACCAACCCGAUGCAAACUGCGAAUACCGGAGAAUGUUAUCACGGGAGACACACGGCGGGUGCUAACGUCCGUCGUGAAGAGGGAAACAACCCAGACCGCCAGCUAAGGUCCCAAAGUCAUGGUUAAGUGGGAAACGAUGUGGGAAGGCCCAGACAGCCAGGAUGUUGGCUUAGAAGCAGCCAUCAUUUAAAGAAAGCGUAAUAGCUCACUGGUCGAGUCGGCCUGCGCGGAAGAUGUAACGGGGCUAAACCAUGCACCGAAGCUGCGGCAGCGACGCUGAUGCGUUGUUGGGUAGGGGAGCGUUCUGUAAGCCUGCGAAGGUGUGCUGUGAGGCAUGCUGGAGGUAUCAGAAGUGCGAAUGCUGACAUAAGUAACGAUAAAGCGGGUGAAAAGCCCGCUCGCCGGAAGACCAAGGGUUCCUGUCCAACGUUAAUCGGGGCAGGGUGAGUCGACCCCUAAGGCGAGGCCGAAAGGCGUAGUCGAUGGGAAACAGGUUAAUAUUCCUGUACUUGGUGUUACUGCGAAGGGGGGACGGAGAAGGCUAUGUUGGCCGGGCGACGGUUGUCCCGGUUUAAGCGUGUAGGCUGGUUUUCCAGGCAAAUCCGGAAAAUCAAGGCUGAGGCGUGAUGACGAGGCACUACGGUGCUGAAGCAACAAAUGCCCUGCUUCCAGGAAAAGCCUCUAAGCAUCAGGUAACAUCAAAUCGUACCCCAAACCGACACAGGUGGUCAGGUAGAGAAUACCAAGGCGCUUGAGAGAACUCGGGUGAAGGAACUAGGCAAAAUGGUGCCGUAACUUCGGGAGAAGGCACGCUGAUAUGUAGGUGAAGUCCCUCGCGGAUGGAGCUGAAAUCAGUCGAAGAUACCAGCUGGCUGCAACUGUUUAUUAAAAACACAGCACUGUGCAAACACGAAAGUGGACGUAUACGGUGUGACGCCUGCCCGGUGC
rnacentral:rRNA from 1 species